GACGUAGGGCGCAAGCGUUGUCCGGAUUUAUUGGGCGUAAAGAGCUCGUAGGCGGCUCGUUGCGUCGGCUGUGAAAACCCGCAGCUUAACUGUGGGCCUGCAGCCGAUACGGGCGGGCUGGAGUUCGGUAGGGGAGACUGGAAUUCCCGGUGUAGCGGUGAAAUGUGUAGAGAUCGGGAGGAACACCGGUGGCGAAGGCGGGUCUCUGGGCAUUUCCUGACGCUGAGGCGCGAAAGCGUGGGGAGCAAACGGG
rnacentral:rRNA from 1 species